ensembl:snoRNA
UUGCACGCUAAAAUUCUCUUGGUAGCUUCCUUCCACGUGCUUCCAAGUGAAUGCCAUGAGUGAACGCUAGAGAAACGGUGAGGGAACCCAAAGGGCUGUGCUUCUCCUAUGGCUCCUUCCUAUUUCACACUUGCGACAUACU